rnacentral:rRNA from 1 species
GACGAACGCUGGCGGCGUGCUUAACACAUGCAAGUCGAACGGAAAGGCCUCUUUCGGGGGGUACUCGAGUGGCGAACGGGUGAGUAACACGUGAGUAACCUGCCCUUGACUUUGGGAUAACUUCAGGAAACUGGGGCUAAUACCGGAUAGGAGCUCCUGCUGCAUGGUGGGGGUUGGAAAGUUUCGGCGGUUGGGGAUGGACUCGCGGCUUAUCAGCUUGUUGAUGGGGUAGUGGCUUACCAAGGCUUUGACGGGUAGCCGGCCUGAGAGGGUGACCGGCCACAUUGGGACUGAGAUACGGCCCAGACUCCUACGGGAGGCAGCAGUGGGGAAUAUUGCACAAUGGGUGGAAGCCUGAUGCAGCAACGCCGUGUGCGGGAUGACGGCCUUCGGGUUGUAAACCGCUUUCGCUCAUGACGAAGCUUUGUGUGACGGUAGUGGGUAAAGAAGCACCGGCUAACUACGUG